UUGAACGCUGGCGGCAGGCCUAACACAUGCAAGUCGAACGGUAACAGGAAGCAGCUUGCUGCUUCGCUGACGAGUGGCGGACGGGUGAGUAAUGUCUGGGAAACUGCCUGAUGGAGGGGGAUAACUACUGGAAACGGUAGCUAAUACCGCAUAAUGUCGCAAGACCAAAGAGGGGGACCUUCGGGCCUCUUGCCAUCGGAUGUGCCCAGAUGGGAUUAGCUUGUUGGUGGGGUAACGGCUCACCAAGGCGACGAUCCCUAGCUGGUCUGAGAGGAUGACCAGCCACACUGGAACUGAGACACGGUCCAGACUCCUACGGGAGGCAGCAGUGGGGAAUAUUGCACAAUGGGCGCAAGCCUGAUGCAGCCAUGCCGCGUGUAUGAAGAAGGCCUUCGGGUUGUAAAGUACUUUCAGCGGGGAGGAAGGGAGUAAAGUUAAUACCUUUGCUCAUUGACGUUACCCGCAGAAGAAGCACCGGCUAACUCCGUGCCAGCAGCCGCGGUAAUACGGAGGGUGCAAGCGUUAAUCGGAAUUACUGGGCGUAAAGCGCACGCAGGCGGUUUGUUAAGUCAGAUGUGAAAUCCCCGGGCUCAACCUGGGAACUGCAUCUGAUACUGGCAAGCUUGAGUCUCGUAGAGGGGGGUAGAAUUCCAGGUGUAGCGGUGAAAUGCGUAAAGAUCUGGAGGAAUACCGGUGGCGAAGGCGGCCCCCUGGACGAAGACUGACGCUCAGGUGCGAAAGCGUGGGGAGCAAACAGGAUUAGAUACCCUGGUAGUCCACGCCGUAAACGAUGUCGACUUGGAGGUUGUGCCCUUGAGGCGUGGCUUCCGGAGCUAACGCGUUAAGUCGACCGCCUGGGGAGUACGGCCGCAAGGUUAAAACUCAAAUGAAUUGACGGGGGCCCGCACAAGCGGUGGAGCAUGUGGUUUAAUUCGAUGCAACGCGAAGAACCUUACCUGGUCUUGACAUCCACGGAAGUUUUCAGAGAUGAGAAUGUGCCUUCGGGAACCGUGAGACAGGUGCUGCAUGGCUGUCGUCAGCUCGUGUUGUGAAAUGUUGGGUUAAGUCCCGCAACGAGCGCAACCCUUAUCCUUUGUUGCCAGCGGUCCGGCCGGGAACUCAAAGGAGACUGCCAGUGAUAAACUGGAGGAAGGUGGGGAUGACGUCAAGUCAUCAUGGCCCUUACGACCAGGGCUACACACGUGCUACAAUGGCGCAUACAAAGAGAAGCGACCUCGCGAGAGCAAGCGGACCUCAUAAAGUGCGUCGUAGUCCGGAUUGGAGUCUGCAACUCGACUCCAUGAAGUCGGAAUCGCUAGUAAUCGUGGAUCAGAAUGCCACGGUGAAUACGUUCCCGGGCCUUGUACACACCGCCCGUCACACCAUGGGAGUGGGUUGCAAAAGAAGUAGGUAGCUUAACCUUCGGGAGGGCGCUUACCACUUUGUGAUUCAUGACUGGGGUG
rnacentral:rRNA from 1 species